rnacentral:rRNA from 1 species
GCUCAGGAUGAACGCUGGCGGCGUGCCUAACACAUGCAAGUCGAGCGAAGCACUUUGCUUAGAUUCUUCGGAUGAAGAGGAUUGUGACUGAGCGGCGGACGGGUGAGUAACGCGUGGGUAACCUGCCUCGUACAGGGGGAUAACAGUUAGAAAUGACUGCUAAUACCGCAUAAGACCACAGCACCGCAUGGUGCAGGGGUAAAAACUCCGGUGGUAUGAGAUGGACCCGCGUCUGAUUAGCUAGUUGGUAAGGUAACGGCUUACCAAGGCGACGAUCAGUAGCCGACCUGAGAGGGUGACCGGCCACAUUGGGACUGAGACACGGCCCAAACUCCUACGGGAGGCAGCAGUA